rnacentral:lncRNA from 1 species
AACAGAAAAAUUGGGUAUCUUUUUUUUGUAACUUUUUGUAUCACUUUUUCUGUCACACAAUGCCCAGAGGCAAAGUCUUCAAGUUUCCACUGGUCAGUAGUGGUAGGAGGACUACCACUAGAAGAAGUGAGAGGUGGAGGCUAGCGUGCUGCACCUUCUACAGCCCAAGGGGAAUAGAGAACUCAGGCAGGGAACAGAACCUUCAAAAUACAUCAAAGAUCACCCAGGUGCUGAAAGAAUGUGGUAUCCCAGACCCAACAAACCUCACACAGUUUAAUUCAGAAAACCAGACAGGAGAACAAAGAGUAAAAUACUGUCUUCCUGUAUCUAAAGUGGUUCUUCAAUUUACACAAAGUUUAAACUACCUAUGUCAAAGUUGUCCUCGCUAGAAAAUGUAUUAUGACUCUUCCAGAAGUUAUAAACUUGGAAUAGGUGAUGCUAUUUGCCCAUUUUAGUUCCUAAAGAAAGUCAACAAUUACUGGAUAUCCAGACUGUAUGACUGUGACUACACAAAAAAUGAAUAGAGAGCUAAAUUCAGAAGACUAGACGUCCGUUAGACUUAACGAUGAUUUCCAAAUAGAUGAUAUGCAAGAUGAGAUAGUGAGGGUAGUGGAGCACUGGAACAGGUUGCCCAGGGAGGUGGUUGAGGCCCCAUCCCUGGAGAUAUUCAAGGAGAGGCUCGACGAGGCCCUGGGCAACCUGGUCUAGUUGGGGGUGUCCCUGCUGACUGCGGGGAGGUCGGACUAGAUGACCUUUGGAGGUCCCUUCCGGCCUGGGCAAUUCUAUGAUUCUAUGAUUCUAUGAUUCUAUGACUAAGCAGAAGACAGAAAACCCUCUACAUGAAAUACUGAUGACAUGUAUCUAGUAUGUUUUUCUUUACUUGUCUCUUACAUUAAAUUUCAAAAGAAUUCUGUAGAAAGUUAUACAUAUCUGGAAUCUGAAGAUUAUAGAGAUGGCAAUUAAAAGCUCUACUUGAUGAAGUUUAUUUUUUCCCUUAAAAUCCCUAAUGGAAUCUGCCUCUGUACCUUGAUACAUAUCUGCUGCCUUCUAGUUAAAGACACCUGUUUAAAAUAUAGCCACAUUUGAGUCAUGGUGAGGAAAACUGGUAUUUGAAUUUUAACGGUUGUGUGAAUACUAAUGAAACACAAUUGCUCUGCUAUUUUCAUAUUAACUUGAAUGCUUAAUAAUAUUUUAUAGACAUUUCAUGAAAGCUAGGCUAGCAAGUAUAUGCUAACUGCAGAGUAGUCAUUCUAGUUACUUCACACCAGUCGAUAUUUACAAACUCUCAUUUCUGGGAAGCACAACUUGAAACUAUUAUCAUAGGAUCAUAGAAUUGCCCAGGCCAGAAGGGACCUCCAAAGGUCAUCUAGUCCGACCUCCCCGCAGUCAGCAGGGACACCCCCAACUAGACCAGGUUGCCCAGGGCCUCAUCGAGCCUCUCCUUGAAUAUCUCCAGGGAUGGGGCCUCAACCACCUCCCUGGGCAACCUGUUCCAGUGCUCCACCACCCUCACAGUGAAGAACCCUCUCCUAAUCUCCAAUCUAAAUCUGUUCCCCUCCAGCUUGAAGCCAUUGCCCCUGGUCCUGUCACUACAGGCCUUUCUAAACAGGCUCUAUUGUUACAUUGAUUGUCCACUAUUCAGUUACUUGAGGGAAGGGAAAUCUGUUCACAUGUAGCAGUCCCUAAAGUAUUCCAGCAAACCCACUUCUGUUUUCGCUUCUGUGUUUGUGGCUUUAUAUGUUACUGAGCCCUGCUUUUGCUAUGAAUUUAUCAGUGGUCAAUAGCAGCUGUGCAGACCAAGUCACUAUCAGCUCUUGUAUUCAACAGCUGCUCUCAGCAAAGCUGGUUAACACAGAAGGUGGUUGUGCUUGUGCAAGAUCGGCCUUGUUCAAUGUCAUUUUUGCUUCCACAAGCAGAGGAAAAUCCAGGGGACGGAUUGCAAAGAUGAGGAAUUCUGAAACACAAUGACAGCACAGCUGCUACCUGUCAAUGUCAGCCCCUCUGUGGUGAGUUGCAGGAGAGGAAAAAUUUCAGAGCAGAGACAUUUGUUUGACUGUGCCAAAAAAGGCUAGGAGCACAUAUAUUUGAGGUACAGCUCUGAGACUGAUGGUGGCAAUUGAUAAAGACAGGUUGUGAAGAAGUUCUCCUUGGCUUUGGAAAAUUAUCUAAUUCUCGCCUUCAGUAGAUUUGGGCUUCUGAUGAAUUGCUGCUAAACAGUUUGUGGAUAUCCAUUUCAUUCAGUCGUAUGGCAGUUAGCUGUCCAAAUGAAUAUCCAGUCCUCGUACCAACAUAACCAAUACCAUCCUGGUUAGCAGCAGCAGUCCUAUUUCUUGAAGUAGAGCAGCUAUUAUUGGUUCCUCCAGAAGAAGACACUGUGUAGUAGGGAUACAAGGCAGGAGCUGAAGCUGAUCAUAUGUAUCAAAGGACACACAGAGAUUUUUCACUAAUUUUUGAACUUCAUUUCCAAGUUGGAAAUGAAAACUACAAACUGGAAACAACUCUGGAAAAUCAGAAACCCAUGAUUUAAUAUGUAAGUUGGCACCAUGCUAAGGUGCUCUAUAGUUUUAGAUGUUCAAGUCUGGCUUAUGCCUUGAAUCAGAAGAGCUUCUGUUCUUUUCAAAACUGUGGUUUGUAUUUUCUAAUGUGGUAUGAUGUUUAUUUCAAGCUUUGGAUCCUGCUGUGAUCUUUGUUUCACUGCUCCUUUUGAAAGUGGAGUACCUGGAUUUAAUUUGCACUGUGAAAAUUAUACUCUUUUUUAUCAUUUUGCAGUUUGUUCAACUGUGUUUAUAGAGUAACUACCCUGCCCAUGUUGAUAGUACAAGAAAAUGUGAUGAGAACUUCUUACUAUGUGUUCAUUAAGCCAUUCAUUAGUUCCUGUACUUGUAUCUCUUUUCUCUUUCCUCAGCAUUCCUCAAAAGCCAUUGUCUCUCUCAACUUAAUGAGAAAUUGUGAAGUUCUCAUGGUGCUGUUGGGAAAUGUAUAUUGUAGAAGCUCAUUCAAGUGAUUUAUGCAAUUAGGAAAAUGUGCAAGCAAUGGCCCCAGGUCAUGGCUGUAAUGAAAUCCAAAUGCAGGUAAUGAAGUUGAAUUUCAGAUUAAAAGUUUUGCAUAGCUCAGCUGCAAGCCACAUAAACUGAAGCAAUUCCAAAUUUGCUUGGAAAAGGGGAUAUUAAAAGAGGAGAUGUCACAGAGAUGUAGCUGCUUGUGCAGUCCCAUACAACUGUAACAACUGUCUCUAAUCUGUCUCACCUUUGUCCGUGAAGUAUUUUGUCACAGGCUUUGGUCUGGUUGUUUCAGGAUUGUCAAAGUAAACUGAUGAAGCAGAAAGUGGUCUCUCUGUGUGUAUGUGUCUUUAAAAAAUCUCAGCUUGAAAACACAUAUCAGAAAGUUUCUACUCAAACUCAAAACAACAAAGUAUUUUCUCACAAGAUGAGAUACAAGCAUUAUGAGGAGCAACCAGUCAGUGUUUAGUUAGGAAACCAUAGAGAGUUUUUUCAGAUUGAGACAAAGAAGCAGUGUUGGGAAAUGAAUGAAAAGGAAUCCCCAUUGAAAUGUUUCCUCAUUUAGGACUCAGUUCUGCUCCUACACACAUGGUUUUGACUUAGGGAAUUGUCUGGGGGUUUUUUUAUGUGAGUAAUGCAAUGGACUGAGUAAGUGAAUUCAGAUUUAAAACCAGAAAAUUUUAUUGCCACUGUCAGAGGAUCAUUGUCACAAAAGAAAGAUUAGCAGUAACACCCCAAAACUCUUAAUAUUAUCAAUUUCAAAAAAGAAAUAAUAAUCUAGGAUUGGAACUUUGCUCUUAGCCUGUCUUUUUUGUAUGCAACAACUUUGCAUACAAAAGCAAAAACUUUGUACCUAAUAAACUUAAACACAGAGAAUUGUCA